rnacentral:rRNA from 1 species
AGCUAACGCAUUAAGUGUACCGCCUGGGGAGUACGGUCGCAAGAUUAAAACUCAAAGGAAUAGACGGGGACCCGCACAAGCGGUGGAGCAUGUGGUUUAAUUCGAAGAUACGCGAAGAACCUUACCUGGGCUUGAUAUCCUAAGAACCUUUUAGAGAUAAGAGGGUGCUAGCUUGCUAGAACUUAGAGACAGGUGCUGCACGGCUGUCGUCAGCUCGUGUCGUGAGAUGUUGGGUUAAGUCCCGCAACGAGCGCAACCCACGUAUUUAGUUGCUAACGGUUCGGCCGAGCACUCUAAAUAGACUGCCUUCGUAAGGAGGAGGAAGGUGUGGACGAUGUCAAGUCAUCAUGGCCCUUAUGCCCAGGGCGACACACGUGCUACAAUGGCAUAUACAAUGAGACGCAAUACCGCGAGGUGGAGCAAAUCUAUAAAAUAUGUCCCAGUUCGGAUUGUUCUCUGCAACUCGAGAGCAUGAAGCCGGAAUCGCUAGUAAUCGUAGAUCAGCCAUGCUACGGUGAAUACGUUCCCGGGUCUUGUACUCACCGCCCGUCACACCAUGGGAGUUGAUUUCACUCGAAGCCGGAAUACUAAACUAGUUACCGUCCACAGUGGAAUCAGCGACUGGGGUGAAGUCGUAACAAGGUAACCGUAGGAGAACCUGCGGUUGGAUCACCUCCUUU